rnacentral:rRNA from 1 species
AAUUGUUCGCAAUGGGCGCAAGCCUGACGACGCAACGCCGCGUGGAGGACGAAGAUCUUCGGGUCGUAAACUCCUUUCGAUCGGGACGAAUGGCUGGUGGUCUAACACAUCAUCAGAGUGACGGUACCGAGAGAAGAAGCCCCGGCUAACUCCGUGCCAGCAGCCGCGGUAAUACAGAGGGGGCAAGCGUUGUUCGGAAUUACUGGGCGUAAAGGGCGCGUAGGUGGCCUGCUAAGUCGAACGUGAAAUCCCUGGGCUCAACCCAGGAACUGCGUCCGAUACUGGUUGGCUUGAAUCCGGGAGAGGGAUGUGGAAUUCCAGGUGUAGCGGUGAAAUGCGUAGAUAUCUGGAGGAACACCGGUGGCGAAGGCGACAUCCUGGACCGGUAUUGACGCUGAGGCGCGAAAGCCAGGGGAGCAAAC